rnacentral:piRNA from 1 species
UGGAGAGCAGAAGCAACCUACAGUGA